CUCUCCCUAAACAGAAGUCGAUUGUGUCUGAGUCUCCUACAAUAACGGAUAAAUUGAAUUAAUUAAUUAUACUCUGAUAAAAUUUGGUGCUUUGGAUGCAAGGAGAUAUUGAUUGUGAUUAGCUAUUCUUCCAUAUACAGGAUGGGUGACGUUUCCGAAGAUGUUAGUACAACAACCAUGCGAUCAGAAUUAAACCUGUUCACAACCUCUCCAUAACCUGGGUCUCAAUGUCAACUGCUAUGUUUGAAAUAAAAAAGUUUAUCAUCAAAGGCGUGAUGAUUUUCGUGUGAAACCAAAGAGAUAAAUGGUUUAAUAUCUAUUACUCAGCAUAUGAUAACAAAUAAAUAUACUAGCUGCGUUAUUGUAAUUAUUCCAAUAUGUAUAUCUCUAAUUCCAGUCUUCCCCAUGAUCUAAGGAGAGCUUAUUUUGACUAAUUAGUCAAUAUCGCAGCAAGAGAGGAUGAUCAAGGGAAGGAAGAGAUUUUUGUUGACUCCCGGUGAUUGAUGUGAGAUGUGAUUAGUCUUCAGGACAUUGAGCUUUUGUUCGAUAUAUUGCCUUUACAUGUAGUGCUGAUUGCAGUGGAAAUGUUCCUUCAAAGGAAUUUUCAGACGUGCCUUAUCUGGACCGAUUGGAUUUCUUCAACUGAUAUGCGUUUCUUAUUUAGUUCAAAUUUUUUGUUUACUUUUUUCCUUUAUUACUACUAUGUGCACGUGUAUAUCUUGUCCUUGGGUAGUAGUCAGUGGCUAGUGCUACAAUCCAUACAAUGCUUGCUUACUAUUGGCAUUAGGUGGUUCAUAAUACACAAUGCAGUUCAUAAUACAGUGCAGGACAAAAUUAUAAGAUACUUUCCAUAUUUAUAUGUUCGUGUAUAUAAAAAAAGGAAAUUAUGUAAUGUUAUAAAAGAACAUUACAUUAAAAGAAAAUACAUGCGUUUUUCUACUGUAGAUGUUACCAUCCCUAGAAUAAAUGUACGAAAUCUUAAGUUCGUAUAAUAUACAACAAAAAAAAUUAGAGAAAAAAAGUCAAUAUGAACUAACUUUAGUUGGACAAAAUAAUAAAACAAUAAGACAAAAAUUGUCAUGUAACCAUUAAUGACUGCGUCGAUAAUUACUUAACUUUAUUAAACAGAGGAUAAUGAACAUUACUAAUACUGAAUUGUGUCUUCGCUAUGAGGUUGUACAGGUAAAGUAGACCCAUCCUCUAUCUGUGGCCCGAAUAAUUUUCGGAUUCUUUUUCCAUAUAGAUUCUGCUUGAAAAUGAUCUAUCUUUAUCAUAAUAUAACCAACCUCUAUAGUUAUUCUGUAAAAUAAUAAAUGCAGGUACAUAUAUUUUAGCACUUUCAAAAGAUUAAGACAAUUCUUCUUUGUAUCUAAUUGAACGAAGUCAGUUUAUUGAAUAUGAAUUGUAAUACUAUACACGUUUUAAUAUAAGAUGUGUUAAUUAUUUUAAUAAUCAAUUGUAUUUUCUAGACUUACAAGUAUGUGCAUAUCUGGUACGUAUUUAAAAUAUAAUCUACUGCUAUGUUUUACAGAGAGUACACUAUGUAUCUAGUAUUAUUUGAAGAACCUUUUUUCUAAUAUCGGAACUAUAACAGAUCAAAUCAAUUGCAAAUUAAAGGCUCAUAUCGCUCACACUGAAAUAUUCAAAAAAUUCUUUCUUUUCUUCCAGCGAUAAAAUUUUAUCCCUAUAAAAGAAGUAAUAUAAUAAUAGGAUACAGGGGAAAAUAUCUAGUUUUUUUUCGACCAAUAUUCUUUCAAUUUGUCCAGCUAGGACAUUCGAUGAAUUAAUUUAAUAGUUCAUUAUAACAUGACGAUACUUAACCCAUGGAGAAGCAUCGAAAUUAUCGGUCUAAGUACAGUACGUGUAAUAGUAAGGUUUAAUGAUGCUCAUAUACUACAUAGUAGAUCAAUAGAAUAUUUCCUACAUAGUCUUCUAGGUUGGUCGAAUGAGUAUAGUUCUUUUGCAGUAGCGCUGGGAUGUUGAUCGAGUCGAUUUUUAUAAUUAUUGGACAUAGUCGCCCAAUUUCAUCAGAAACCCAUAACACAAUGUUUAGAUCUUUACGGAUCUCGUCAUUGCGUAUGUACCACGGAGCAGUAACAACUGUUCUAAGGAUUAUAGCUUGUAGUGAUUCUAACUUUCGAAUAUGACUCUUGGCUGCCAUACCCCAAAGUUGUAUACCAUAAGUCCAGAUAGGUUUACUUAUUGUUUUAUAUAGCAAUAAUUUAUUUUCAGGUGAUAAUUUAGAAUAUUUGCUGGUAAGGCAAUAAAUGUUUCUUUUUUUCAGUCUAAUAUGUUCAAUUUUUUUAUAUAUAUAUUGUUUCCAAGUAAGUUUGAAGUCCAUGUGCAGCCCUAGAUAUUUGACGGAUUUCGUUUCCGGUAUUACAAGGUGGUUCAGUGCGAUGUGUCAUGAAGAUCCUUUUCGUAAUGUGAAGGUGAUAUGAUUGUAUUUAUGGUUAUCUUCCAUUUUUUUUGGCCACUGUUCAAGCUCUUGAAUAUGGGUUUGUUUUAUCUGAGAUGCUUUCACAGAAUCUUCAUGUAUAGCUAAUAUAGCUGCAUCGUUGGCAAAUAUGAAUAAUGUUGUAUUUGGUGUAGUAGGGAUAUCGGCCAUGUAGAGUGUGUAUAGAGUAGGCCCUAGAACACUGCUCUGUGGAACGCCAGCCUUUAUCGCGUAAAUGUUAGAAAUGUUAUCUUGAAUUUUUACUAUAAAUGUUCUGUUUUCUAAAUAUGAUUUAAUUAAAUGGUGGUAAAUGAUGAGAAAAUUGAGUUUAAUCUUAUAUAGCAAAUCUUUAUGCCUUAUCAGAAGCUUUUUCUACAUCUAGAAAUAUAGCCGCACGGUACUGUUUAAGUUGAAGAGCUUCAGCGAUUUUAUUUGUAAGUCUGUGAACUUGUUCAGUUGUGGCAUGUUUUUUUUUUGAAAACCAAAUUGGUGUGGUGAUACACAAUUUUUUUCUGUGAUAUACAUUUCUGGUAGGAAUUUUUAUAAUUAUUAUUCUCCAUUUGUUUGGUAGCAUGCCAACCUGUUUCUUGAAUCGAAGUAAUGAGAUUGUCAACGGCAGUUUCCAUUUCAAGGGGAUUAUUAAGCCUUACAUCGCAAGAUAGGUUUUCAUUGAUAUACUGUUUGAAAAGGUUUCAGUCUGUAAUAUUGUUGCAAAAUGUAAGCGUAUUUGUUAAGUUUAUAGGCUUGCCUAUAAUGAUUUAUAAUGAUCGGAAUAUGAUCAGAACUAUAAGCUUGAUUUUAUUUUAUAAAAUGAUUGGUUUAAGCCUUUAAUUAUAGGAAAAUCUAUUAAAUCAGAUAUUUUGUCAAGUGCAGUUGGCCAAUACGUUGGCUCACCUGUUGUAAGGACAUUGAGAUGUAAUUUUUGGCUAACUGGUUCAAGAAUUUUUCCUCUUGGCGAGAUUGUUCUAGAGCCUUAUAAACCAUGUUUAGCAUUGUAAUCAUCGCCAUCGAGAAAUUUAUUUCCUAGAGACUUAAAAAACUCAAUAUAGUAUUCCAUAGUUAAUUUAUGUUUAAGAGGGAAAUAAACAGUAGAGAGUUUGAAAGGACCAUUGGUAGUUUAAAUGUUUACAAUCGGUGCUUGCAAAUUUACUUGAUUACAAUUGUUAUGAAAAUGAUAAAUUUCAGUUGUAUCGGCUUGAAUUUUUACUUGAAGUUGUUUUAUUGUGUAACUAUUACUAACAGCCUCUUUUAGAAAUUCAAGUAAUGGUUCAAUCACUUGUACUUCGAUAUGUAUUUGGGAUUGUUUUGGCUGAGGGGUAUUUUUUUGAUCGCUGGUUCCAAUGAUCUAUUAUCUUCUUUGUGUAGUAAAUCGAAUGAAUUCGUAAGUGGUAUUUUAUUCAAGAGUCAUUUAUCUUGUGGCUCCAAAUCAUAAUCCGUUCUGUAUAAUUUUUUGGAAUUAACUUUGUAUUUUUUGCUGCUAGUCUUGACAGGUUUCCAAUUUUGUAAGGAUUCCGAAUCCUUUUUCCAUCUCAUUUUUCAUAGUUUGGUUCCUAGCAAGUUUGAUUAUUCUUUUUUGUCUAGAUUCAAUGUCAGAGGAUUGUUGUUAUUCUGUAAUCAUUUGUUUGUAGUUGACUUGUUUUGGUAUUUAAGCUUAAAGGGAUACUAAAACUAUCACUGUUAUUGGCUAUUUUAAUAGAAGGUAUAUUGUUUGAUGGCAUGGUCAGUGAUGAUAGGCUUACACGCACGGUUUUCCGCGAGAGUGUACCGUAUAUAUUCACCUAGACUGGUCGUUUAACACUAUGUCUAUGCAGAACAAGCUAAUUGUUUACUUAUAUACAGAUAAGAAUGAAAUAUCCGAUGUAGUAUCUAAAGAAAGUGAUGACAUCAUAGAAGUUUCAUGUCUAACGUAGUUCCUAAUAACAAGGAAACACAUGCGCGUAAUUGAAGACAUCUUCGAAGUCUACGAUACAUCUCGGUGCUUACAUGGAAAUGAUGAAAUUCCUGAGCUAGAGUAGAGUUUCUUAUUUUCAGGUACAAUAUUCAAUUGUAUUAUAAUACUAUUUACCAUAGUAGCCUAUAGGCAUAUAUCGUAUACAGCAUGUAAGGGAGAAAGAAGAAUCCAUGCUUCUUGAGAUAUCUGAUUGCGUACAAAUGAAAUAUAGAUGCGAUGAGUCAUCGAAUUCUCGUAUUUAAAAAACCUCCAUCAUUUUCCGGCAUUACUUUUCACCGAUUAAUUUCUUGAGUUAUGUUUCUACAAUGAUGCACGAAUUUUUAAUCAAAAUUGUUACAUUAUUUAUACACAUAUUCCUGAAGUAAUCAUAAUGAAGUACGUAAUUUUUCAAAAAGACGUCAGCACAUUGUUGUCUCAUGUAAGAUUCUAAUGGCUAAGCCCAGCAAAAUUAUCGUCAAUGAAGAUUGGACAGUUAAUAUAAAUUUAAUCUUCGGAUUUGUUUUUCAUAAAAACACAAUUAUGUUCAGUCCAGUUUUUUCGUUAAAUCCUCUUGAUGUAUUCAUAAUUAUUAUGAGCAUUUCUAUUAAUUGUUUAAUGAAUUUUACCUUUUGACAGGAAUUAAGAGAUAUUAGAAUAACAUCGAAAUUGUGAUUAUAGUCGUGAUACUUGCUUACGAAUAAAGUGUAAAGACAAUAAAGACUUUAUUACGAUGAAUACUGCAAGUUCUCAGAAUGUAAAAAUUCCGAAAUUCAAAAACAAAUUUAAAUGAUGAAAACUGAAGACGUUAGGAACGAAAGACAAAUUGGUGGAAUGCUUGAAUACUGUCUUAGAGCUGGAAACAACUACAGAAGAUAAAAAUGACAACAAUGAUGCAAACACCGAUGACGAUGCAUAGAAGAACUUAAAAGAUCGAAGAUAUAAAUCGUUGGAAAUUUUCCCUAUUACAGAUGUAAAAAAAUCAAUGAAAACAUUUAGCUGCGAUGAUACUGUAAAUGUUCAUGACUGGAUAGAGGAAUUCGAAGAAAUAACAACUUUUCCCAACUGGACAGAUUUUUAGAAGGUAAUUUAUUAUAAAAGACUAUUAAGGGGAUCAGCAAAGAUAUUUGUGCGAAUUAAAAGAUGUAGUUUACAUCAUGGAGAUAACUUAAAAAAGACUGACAAAAGUCUUAAAAAAGAAUUUGCUUUGAAUUUAAACAUUUACAGUAUUACGAAACAGUUGAAGCAACGUAAGAAACAAGCAAAUGAGACAAAUAAUGGAUACAUUUACAGAAUGUACGAAAUCGCUAAUUGAAUGAGUAAAAUAAAAAACAUCAUUUAGGCGAAUAGAUGAUAAGUCGGUAAAUAAAAGUAUUAUUUGUGGCGCUACAACAAUUCAAAAAUUCAAACGAAAAUUUACAGUGUACGAAAGCAUAAAGAAGGAAAUGCAAAAGAAAGCAAAAUAGCACAUCGACAUCCGUAAAAAGAAAUAACCUAAACAUGGUUUUGGAUUACAACAAAACGGGAAAUGUUUGAAUUGUGACUUGUCUGCACAUAAUUCGGCGGAUUGUCUAUUAAAAUCGAAGGGCAUGAAGUGUUUUAACUGUAACCGGUUUGAACAUGUUGCGAGCAAAUACUUUACGGACGGUGCAUCAAAGAAGAUCUUCAAUGUUGCAUAAACAAUAAAGAAGAAAUCAUGUAAAGAAAUCGAGAUAAUAGACAUUAAGGUUAUAGCGCUUAUUGAUAUGAGUAGCGACAUUAAUUUAAUACAUGCGGAUCACUAUAUUAAAAUUGGCGCAUCUAAGUUAGGUAAAAUUAUUCGUUUUAAUGACGUAAUUUAAAAAUAACAAAAUGUUACGUUAGGUGAGUUUAAAACAAUAAUUGCCGUAGAUAGAUAUACAUAUCCAAUUAUACCUCACGUAGUUUCGUGGAUAACGUACGGUCUUUUUAUUGGGAUUAAUUUCUUGAACGAUGAGAAAAUAAAUAUAAAAACGGAAAUAUUUCAAUUUCGAAGAUUAAUGUAAAAGAAAGUUUUUCUGAAGUUCUUAAAAUAGAUAUCUUUCAAGAGACGGAUGAGAUCGACCUGGCUCAUAUAUGAAGAAUGUGGAACAUUAAUAGUUCAUUAAAGAUACUACAGAUAGUUAUAACCCGUUUGAAGUAUGUGAGGUAGGCGUACAAUUGAAUUUAAUUUUACUGGAUGAAUAACCGAUAUAUCAACUACUGAGGCGAUCAUCACGACGCGAUAAAGCAAAAGUUAAAUAAACAGAUUAAGGAAUGGCUCAAUAAGAAUAUAAUACAACCAUCGUACUCAAACUAUGCUAGUCCAAUAAUAUUGGUAAAAAAGAAGGAUGGUUCUGAUAGAUUAUGUAUAGGCUACAGAGAAUUAAAUAGAAAAAUCGUGAAGGAACGUUACUAACUUCUUUUAAUAAAGGAUUAGAUAAAUGUUCUACAAGGUGAAUUUUCAGUACUUUGGAUUUAAAAAAUAGAUUUUUUCAUAUUGAUGUUAAUGAAGCAGAAGUAGAAGGUUUACUGCCUUUGUAAUACUUAAUGGUCACUACGAAUUUUAUAAAAUUCCUUUCGAUUUAUGAAAUAUCUUUCUCAAAAGUACAUUAACGCAGCAUUUCGAGAGUUAAUAGCUUCAAAAAUGGUUCUACUUUGCAUCGACGACUUAAUUAUAGUAGCAGGUAAUGCAGAUGAUACCAUCAAUAAUCUUCAUUUCGUUUUAAAUAUAGCAAUACAAUACGAUUUAUACAUUAAUUGGAAGAAGAAUAAGUUUUUAAAAACCAAUAGAAUAUCUCUGAUAUAUUAUUGAAGAAGAAGAGACGUGAUCAGAGAAAUCAUUGAAAAAUCAUCAGAGAAAAAUAUUGCAAUCGUGACUACACUUUUAAAACCUAUUGACCCUCAAGCUAUACAAUUUUCUUACGCCCAUUGUCUAAUUUAUUAAAGAAGAAUGUCAUUUUUGUAUUUAGUCGUUCGAAAGUGACCUGUUUCUCACAACGAAAGCUAAUAAAUUGAUAAGCCGAUCCUAUGCCUAUAUAAGACGAACGUUAAAACGUUAGAGCUAUACAUCGACGCAUCUAGUCUUGGAUACGGUGCAAUAUUAAUGCAAUGAGAUAGCAUAAUUAAAAAGAUGCAUCUUUUGCGAAAAACGUUGCAAGCCGAGUAGAAAUAAUGUAGUUAUAAGUUAAAAGUAUUAACGAUUAUCAAGGCACGAUGUAAAUUUAGAGUCUAUUUACUUGGUAUUUCUUUCAAAAUUAUUACUGUAUUUACGAUAACCCUUCAUAAAAAGUUUUAUACGUGCGUGUUUCGAAAUGAAUGCUUCUUCUCCGAGAGUUCUCAUAUAUGAUUUAAUAUCGGCUGAGUAAGAGUAUGCUAUAUGUAGACACUCUAUGGAAAUCGUUUAUCCAUAAUAUUGCUCGUUGAAGAGGACGAAAAUAGACUUUUAACCAGAUCGAAGAAGAUCCAAAACGAAGACACGCAGGUCAAGCGACCAUAAGAAUGAUUAAAGAAAAAGAUGUGAAGAACAUUAUUUGUACAAAUGGUUUAUUGUACAGACGGAUCUAUGAUGACGUGCUUGUAAUGGUUCCUAAGACAUUGUAACUUCAAAUAAUUAGACAAGGACACGAACGCGACCAUUUCGCGAUAAAUAAGACUAAACAACUGAUUAGAAUGUAAUACUGGUUUGGAAGAAUGAAACCCAAAAUCGAAAAGAUCGUACUAAAUUGUAUAAGUUUAUAGACGAAUAUAAACAAGGAAAGCAAGAAGGAUUUUUGUAUACGAUAAAAGAUGUAGAACUGCCACUAGGUACAUAUUGUAUUGACCACAUAGACCUCAUUCUCAGUACAAAGAAAAAUUAUAAACAUGUCUUCGCAAUAAUUGAUGCGAAAUUUACUUGGUUUCAUGCAACUAAGGGUACGGACACUGCAGAGGUAUUAGAUCAUCUCAGAAAAUAAGCAACGAUCUUCGGUAAUCUGUGCUGAAUCAUUUCUGACCACAGAAAAACAUUCACUUCAAAUGUGUUUGCAGAAUAUUACAAGGAUGAAGGAAUAUAACAUAUAAAAACGAUAAUAGAAAUGUCACGAUUGGAUGGACAACAAGUAGAACGCAUCAACAGAACGCUUAUUUCUUUAAUAACGAAAGUGCCAUCAUGUCCCAAAGAACGGCAUUGACAUUUGCACCUCGUGCAAAGAUAUUUAAACGCUACUUCGAAGAAAAGCAUUAACACUGCACAUUUCAAUCUAUUGUUUGGUACUCAUGAAAAUGAAAGAGGGCCAGUCAAUAAGAAAAAUGAUAGAAGUCGAAUGGAUUUGUACGUUUUGCGACAAUAUAAGAAAAAUGGGCUGGAGCUGAAGUUUCUAAGAUCCAACAAGACUACCAAAGGAAUUUUAAUAAAUGUUGGACCAAAGCAAUACGAUGUAGGAGAGAUGAUCGUUAUUAAGCAUACGCAAUUUGCACUAGGUUCAAAGUUUCUAUUGGUAUUUUUAGGACCUUAUCAAAUAAAGACAAUGUUACGAAACAAUAGAUACAUCUUUGGGAAAAUAGAAGAGCAUGAAGGUCCAUAAUCAUAAUCAUAAUCUCCACUGCAGCGGAUCUGAUUAAAUUAUGGAAUCAUCCUGUAGAAGAAUGUUUAUUCGACAAUGACGAAGAAAAUGAUAUUUGAGGGUAGAUGUUAGUGUGCUAUAACGGCCGAAUGUGAUAUUGAGAAUUUUAGUCCAGUUUUAUACAUGAAGUGUAAGCGAAGCAGCAUGUAUAAGUUUAUUGUUCCUCGUAUCAAUACACUUGGAAAUUUUCCGAGGUUUUAUAUCAGUGCGAAUGAGUGUGUAUCCAUGUACACUUGAAGUAUGACCAAGGUUCUUGAAAAAAAGCACAAGAGGGAAGGCAAGAGUGAUGAUCGAUACUGGGUAGUUUUAAAAGCUGCAAUUAAGACGCGACUUAAAGCUGUCUUCAUUUUUUAUAUUAUUUUAUUAAUUUCUUUCAAUAAAUCUUAUUUUAUUAAAAUCACUAAUAUCAAAUGUAUGUAUAUUAAUAGAUAAUAAUAUAUGUUGUUACGAAUUAAUCUAGAGGAGUGUGAACUCGUAAUGGAUAGGUCUUGCACGUCUUUAUCGUGCUAGUAGAGAUGCAUGUGUAUGUAAUAUAAUUCUUCUACGCUAAAUCUUCUACGCUUAUAGUUGGACCAAUUCUAACAAUUUGUUCGUUCUCAAACAAAAAUAAAGAUAAAAGUAAAAAAAAAAAGAAAAGGAUAUAUAAAUCGCAACGCUUAUUGAUUGAAUCUUCUCUCUUUUUUUUUUCUUUCGAAUUUAUUCACCAUGUUAAGAUUACAUAUUUACUGACUUUCACACACUUUAAUUAAAUCUUGAAAAUAUUCGCAAAAAGUUCAUUACAUUUCCAUGUACAAUCUUUGAACCGUUUGUGCAAGUCUAGUUUAUUUCGUCGGUGAUCGUAACGACGUUUCAUUUUAUCUAGCACUUGUUGCAUCGAUAUAUGUACAUUUUCACCUUUUAAAUACCACUAGUGAAAUUUUAAAUUAAGAUUAUUUUAAGUUUUCCGCGCGUUACAAUUUUCGUAAUGUUUAAGCGAAUGUAUUAUUGCUCAAAUAUUAGUUUACUGAACUUCGAGAACUUUUCUAUUAUUUAAAUAAAUCUAAAAUUACCGAAAGUAUUAAAUUUUAAGUUUGCACGUUUAGGAAGAGAGAGUUUUAACGUUUUACUCUUUCGAAUGUAAAAGAAAACUAAUACGAGAACUGUUAAAGUCAGU